rnacentral:rRNA from 1 species
GACGAACGCUGGCGGCGUGCUUAACACAUGCAAGUCGAGCGGUAAGGCCCUUUCGGGGGUACACGAGCGGCGAACGGGUGAGUAACACGUGGGUGACCUGCCCUCAGCUCUGGGAUAAGCCUGGGAAACCGGGUCUAAUACCGGAUAUGACUCCAUGACGCAUGUUGUGGGGUGGAAAGCCUUGUGCGGCUGAGGAUGGGCCCGCGGCCUAUCAGCUUGUUGGUGGGGUGAUGGCCUACCAAGGCGACGACGGGUAGCCGGCCUGAGAGGACGACCGGCCACACUGGGACUGAGACACGGCCCAGACUCCUACGGGAGGCAGCAGUGGGGAAUCUUGCGCAAUGGGCGAAAGCCUGACGCAGCGACGCCGCGUGAGGGAUGACGGCCU